AGAUAUCCUGCCAUUUUAUAGCUGUACAGUAUUAUGGAACCGGAUGGAAAUGAAUUUAUUUACUGCCCAGCUUAUGCAUACAUAUGCGUACUGCAUCAACGUUUAUACACUCGCAUCGGGCAUCUUAAAAUUUCGGGCGGAGGAGUCGUUGCGCGGUUGAGGAGUGGAUAUCGUGGAUUCUCUUUGAUGUAGGCAUGUACUUGAGAAGAUUCAGUUAGCUGAAGCAACCAGAUAUUUUUCCCACCAAUACGUACAAGCAAAAUAAUGGAAAAAGGCAAAUUUUAUAGCUGUAUAAAUAGGUCUGUAUUUGUGGUAAACACAAAUAAUCUGAAAAAUUCCACACUAUCGUAAAUCACUAAACAGGAGAAAUGGCCAAUAGUUCCCUGGUCAUUUUAGCCCCAUGAUGAUCUUUAAUGUACAAGAGUCUUUGUCUUCUGAAAGGGGCUCAGUGAUGAUGGUUGUAACUCAAGUUUCUUAUGAUGUCACUUAUGCCAGUGUACCUUAAUUGGUUACAUGCUCAAAUCAAGGGAAAAUUAGAACAGGUGAUGCUGCAUUAGCAGAAGAGUCUGAUGUUUCUAAUGACCAAGUUAUUUGCAUAAAACAAAUUCUUCUUGACCUUGUGUAAACUCAUCCUAGCAAGAGCAAAGUCCUGAAUUGAAUCUGCAUUAAACAGUACACUAUGCUCUCAAGAUCAUUUGCCAAAGGGUGGUUUCCAAAAUUCUGGAUUGAA